CAUGCGGCAGCUUACACAUGCAAGUCGAACGGAAUCUUCGGAUUUAGUGGCGGACGGGUGAGUAACGCGUGAGAAUCUAGCUCUAGGUCGGGGACAACCACUGGAAACGGUGGCUAAUACCGGAUGUGCCGAAAGGUGAAAGAUUUAUUGCCUAGAGAUGAGCUCGCGUCUGAUUAGCUAGUUGGUGUGGUAAGAGCGCACCAAGGCGACGAUCAGUAGCUGGUCUGAGAGGAUGAUCAGCCACACUGGGACUGAGACACGGCCCAGACUCCUACGGGAGGCAGCAGUGGGGAAUUUUCCGCAAUGGGCGAAAGCCUGACGGAGCAAUACCGCGUGAGGGAGGAAGGCUCUUGGGUUGUAAACCUCUUUUCUCAGGGAAUAAGAAAGUGAAGGUACCUGAGGAAUAAGCAUCGGCUAACUCCGUGCCAGCAGCCGCGGUAAUACGGAGGAUGCAAGCGUUAUCCGGAAUGAUUGGGCGUAAAGCGUCCGCAGGUGGCACUGUAAGUCUGCUGUUAAAGAGCAAGGCUCAACCUUGUAAAGGCAGUGGAAACUACAGAGCUAGAGUACGUUCGGGGCAGAGGGAAUUCCUGGUGUAGCGGUGAAUUGGCGUAGAAAUA
rnacentral:rRNA from 1 species